rnacentral:rRNA from 1 species
UUAGUAGGUGGCCGACUAAGUCAGACGUGAAAUCCCUCAGCUUAACUGGGGAACUGCGUCUGAUACUGGCCGGCUCGAGUGCAGGAGAGGAAUGCGGAAUUCCAGGUGUAGCGGUGAAAUGCGUAGAUAUCUGGAGGAACACCGGUGGCGAAGGCGGCAUUCUGGACUGCAACUGACACUGAAUAACGAAAGCCAGGGGAGCAAACG